CUUGCAUGCAUUAACAGCCAAGCAGGCGGAAAGCCAUCUUUUGCCUUGACUGUAAAUUCUCAUUUUGUUGAGUUUUGCUCAACACUCAAGUGGAGGCCUGUGGAGCUGCUUUGGUAAAGGAUUACAGGUAUUUACAAGAUGUGAUAAGCUACCAAAUGGUGAGCACGCUUAAUGAACACAAAUUGACAGAGAGAGAGAGAGAGAGAGAGAGAGAGAGAUGCCUGGAGGGACAGACCAGCAUUUAUGGUUCAGCUAAAGCGGCAUGUCUGCUCUCAGUCUCCUCUACAUCUGCAAGUGAUCUCCUCACGGAUCACAAGGGGGGGAACUGAAAGAAAGGGGAAAACAGAGAGUUUACUGCAUCCUGGCACAUCCUGCCUUAAUGAGAAACCCCCCAUCUGUCCCCAGCAGGAUAGACAGAGAGAGGGACGGUCGUGCCAAGCAGCGGAAAAGAGGACUGAGUGAGAUGGAGGGGGCUUGCUACAGUGACCCCUCUGUAUGGCGGCUUCUCAUUAGCUUAAGCUAGGGAAGCUUGUUAACCUUGCUAAUCGAAACGGGAACUAGGAUAAAGCCCUGGAAUUUACUGCCAGCUUGUCUCACAUCAAAGUAGACUGGGUAGUCAUAGUGUGUGUGCGUGCAUAGUGUGUGUUUGUGUGUGUGUAUGUGUGUGUGUAUG